CCUACGGGGGGCAGCAGUAGGGAAUCUUCGGCAAUGGACGAAAGUCUGACCGAGCAACGCCGCGUGAGUGAAGAAGGUUUUCGGAUCGUAAAACUCUGUUGGUAGAGAAGAACGUUGGUGAGAGUGGAAAGCUCAUCAAGUGACGGUAACUGCCCAGAAAGGGACGGCUAACUACGUGCCAGCAGCCGCGGUAAUACGUAGGUCCCGAGCGUUGUCCGGAUUUAUUGGGCGUAAAGCGAGCGCAGGUGGUUUACUAAGUCUGGUGUAAAAGGCAGUGGCUCAACCAUUGUAUGCAUUGGAAACUGGUAGACUUGAGUGCAGGAGAGGAGAGUGGAAUUCCAUGUGUAGCGGUGAAAUGUGUAGAUAUAUGGAGGAACACCGGUGGCGAAAGCGGCUCUCUGGCCUGUAACUGAUACUGAGGCUCGAAAGCGUGGGGAGCGAACAGGAUUAGAUACCCCCGUAGUC
rnacentral:rRNA from 1 species